rnacentral:lncRNA from 1 species
UUUUUUUCUUCAUAGGGUUUUGGGAAGACUGAGGCAAUCGUUGCUGAAGUCAGUGUUGUACUGGUGAAUCGAGAUUUUUAAUGAAGUGGGUUUGAUUACUCUUGACUGUUUUGUGAAAUCGAGUUACGUCUGAGAUUGAAGAAUUAAAAGGGUGUCUAUAGGAUUGAGUAUGCAGAGUGAAUGAAAUUUAUUGGGUUAAUCUAAUAAGACAGUCAGUGGAUACAAGAUUGUUAGUACAAAGUGGUAUCGAAGAUUAA